rnacentral:lncRNA from 1 species
AAAUGCUUUAUUUAUUUAAUGCAGUAUUCAGUUCAUCAGUAACAGUUUAUCAAUACAUAUCCAUCUCUAAAAGAAAUCUUUCUUACCAACACAUUUAUCUUCUACCCAGACCUGCCUUUGGUCUCAUCAUGAAAUUCAGUAACCGGUGAAUAUGACUGCAGCCACUCAAAGCAGAACCCUCUUCUUUCUGCCAUCCAUACUAAAUGUGUCUGGAUCUAGCCCUGAAUUCUCCCAACUGUACAGUUCUUCAGUUUUUAGCCCAAAGGCACAGCUAAGAGGAUUAUUCUUCUUCCACCUCAAAGUCAAGUCUGAUAAUACCGAAAAGAUCAGAGAUUGA